GUUGUAUGGUUAAGUGACUAAGCGUACACGGUGGAUGCCUUGGCAGUCAGAGGCGAUGAAAGACGUAGUAACUUGCGAUAAGCCCAGAUUAGGUAGUAACAACCAUUUGAGUCUGGGAUUUCUGAAUGGGGAAACCCACGUGCAUAAGCACGUAUCCUUACCUGAAUACAUAGGGUAAGGAGGCGAACCGGGGGAACUGAAACAUCUAAGUACCCCGAGGAAAAGAAAUCAACCGAGAUUCCGAAAGUAGCGGCGAGCGAAAUUGGACUAGCCCUUAAGCUUUACACGCGUUAGACGAACGGUCUGGAAAGUCCGACGAUACAGGGUGAUAGUCCCGUAGUUGACGACGUGUGUUCAGUGAAAUCGAGUAGGGCGGGACACGUGAUAUCCUGUCUGAAUAUGGGGGGACCAUCCUCCAAGGCUAAAUACUACUGACUGACCGAUAGUGAACCAGUACCGUGAGGGAAAGGCGAAAAGAACCCCUGUGAGGGGAGUGAAAUAGAACCUGAAACCGUGUACGUACAAGCAGUAGGAGCAGGCUUUGUCCUGUGACUGCGUACCUUUUGUAUAAUGGGUCAGCGACUUAUAUUCAGUGGCAAGGUUAACCAUCUAGGGGAGCCGUAGGGAAACCGAGUCUUAACUGGGCGUUCAGUCUCUGGAUAUAGACCCGAAACCAGGUGAUCUAGCCAUGGGCAGGUUGAAGGUUGAGUAACAUCAACUGGAGGACCGAACCGACUAAUGUUGAAAAAUUAGCGGAUGACUUGUGGCUAGGGGUGAAAGGCCAAUCAAACCUGGAGAUAGCUGGUUCUCCCCGAAAGCUAUUUAGGUAGCGCCUCGGACGAAUACUACUGGGGGUAGAGCACUGUUAAGGCUAGGGGGUCAUCCCGACUUACCAACCCUUUGCAAACUCCGAAUACCAGUAAGUACUAUCCGGGAGACACACGGCGGGUGCUAACGUCCGUCGUGGAGAGGGAAACAACCCAGACCGCCAGCUAAGGUCCCAAAUUACUACUAAGUGGGAAACGAUGUGGGAAGGCUCAGACAGCCAGGAUGUUGGCUUAGAAGCAGCCAUCAUUUAAAGAAAGCGUAAUAGCUCACUGGUCGAGUCGGCCUGCGCGGAAGAUGUAACGGGGCUAAGUAGUAAACCGAAGCUGCGGCAAUGUGCUUUUGCACAUUGGGUAGGGGAGCGUUCUGUAAGCGGUUGAAGGUGUGUGGUAACGCAUGCUGGACGUAUCAGAAGUGCGAAUGCUGACAUGAGUAACGAUAAAGGGGGUGAAAAACCUCCUCGCCGGAAGACCAAGGGUUCCUGUCCAACGUUAAUCGGGGCAGGGUAAGUCGACCCCUAAGGCGAGGCCGAAAGGCGUAGUCGAUGGGAAACGGGUUAAUAUUCCCGUACUUCUUACAAUUGCGAUGGGGGGACGGAGAAGGCUAGGUGGGCCUGGCGACGGUUGUCCAGGUUCAAGUGCGUAGGCUUAAGAGUUAGGUAAAUCCGGCUCUUUUUAAGGCUGAGACACGACGUCGAGCACCUACGGGUGUGAAGUCAUUGAUGCCAUGCUUCCAGGAAAAGCCUCUAAGCUUCAGAUUGUAAGGAAUCGUACCCCAAACCGACACAGGUGGUCGGGUAGAGAAUACCAAGGCGCUUGAGAGAACUCGGGUGAAGGAACUAGGCAAAAUGGUACCGUAACUUCGGGAGAAGGUACGCUCUUGACGGUGAAGUCCCUCGCGGAUGGAGCUGACGAGAGUCGCAGAUACCAGGUGGCUGCAACUGUUUAUUAAAAACACAGCACUGUGCAAAAUCGUAAGAUGACGUAUACGGUGUGACGCCUGCCCGGUGCCGGAAGGUUAAUUGAUGGGGUUAGACUUCGGUCGAAGCUCUUGAUCGAAGCCCCGGUAAACGGCGGCCGUAACUAUAACGGUCCUAAGGUAGCGAAAUUCCUUGUCGGGUAAGUUCCGACCUGCACGAAUGGCGUAAUGAUGGCCACGCUGUCUCCACCCGAGACUCAGUGAAAUUGAAAUCGCUGUGAAGAUGCAGUGUACCCGCGGCUAGACGGAAAGACCCCGUGAACCUUUACUACAGCUUGGCACUGAACAUUGACCCUACAUGUGUAGGAUAGGUGGGAGGCUUUGAAGCAGGUACGCCAGUAU
rnacentral:rRNA from 1 species